rnacentral:rRNA from 1 species
UACGUAGGGUGCGAGCGUUGUCCGGAAUUAUUGGGCGUAAAGAGCUUGUAGGCGGUUUGUCGCGUCUGCUGUGAAAUCUCAAGGCUCAACCUUGAGCUUGCAGUGGGUACGGGCAGACUAGAGUGUGGUAGGGGAGACUGGAAUUCCUGGUGUAGCGGUGAAAUGCGCAGAUAUCAGGAGGAACACCGGUGGCGAAGGCGGGUCUC